AGCGGCGCACGGGUGAGUAACGCGUACGCAAUCUGCCCUUCAGUGAGGAAUAGCCCUGGGAAACUGGGAUUAAUACCUCAUAAUAUUAUUUGUCUGCAUGGAUGAAUAAUUAAAGUUCUGGCGCUGAAGGAUGAGCGUGCGUCUGAUUAGCUAGUUGGUAGGGUAACGGCCUACCAAGGCGACGAUCAGUAGGGGGCGUGAGAGCGUGACCCCCCACACGGGUACUGAGACACGGACCCGACUCCUACGGGAGGCAGCAGUAAGGAAUAUUGGGCAAUGGAGGCAACUCUGACCCAGCCAUCCCGCGUGAAGGAUUAAGGCCCUAUGGGUUGUAAACUUCUUUUGUUUGGGAAGAAAUCAGGACAUUUAUGUGCUGUUGACGGUACCUUACGGAUAAGCACCGGCUAACUCCGUGCCAGCAGCCGCGGUAAUACGGAGGGUGCAAGCGUUAUCCGGAAUCACUGGGUUUAAAGGGUGCGUAGGCGGUUUGAUAAGUCAGAGGUGAAAGCUAGCAGCUUAACUGUUAAAUUGCCUUUGAUACUGUCAGACUUGAAUCAAGUUGAGGUAGGCGGAAUGUGACAUGUAGCGGUGAAAUGCAUAGAUAUGUCAUAGAACACCAAUUGCGUAGGCAGCUUGCUGGGCUUGAAUUGACGCUGAGGCACGAAAGCGUGGGGAUCAAACAGGAUUAGAUACCCUGGUA
rnacentral:rRNA from 1 species